AGAGUUUGAUCAUGGCUCAGGAUGAACGCUGGCGGCGUGCCUAAUACAUGCAAGUCGAGCGAACAGAUAAGGAGCUUGCUCCUUUGACGUUAGCGGCGGACGGGUGAGUAACACGUGGGUAACCUACCUAUAAGACUGGGAUAACUUCGGGAAACCGGAGCUAAUACCGGAUAGUAUUUCGAACCGCAUGGUUCGAUAGUGAAAGAUGGUUUUGCUAUCACUUAUAGAUGGACCCGCGCCGUAUUAGCUAGUUGGUAAGGUAACGGCUUACCAAGGCGACGAUAUGUAGCCGACCUGAGAGGGUGAUCGGCCACACUGGAACUGAGACACGGUCCAGACUCCUACGGGAGGCAGCAGUAGGGAAUCUUCCGCAAUGGGCGAAAGCCUGACGGAGCAACGCCGCGUGAGUGAUGAAGGUCUUCGGAUCGUAAAACUCUGUUAUUAGGGAAGAACAUACGUGUAAGUAACUAUGCACGUCUUGACGGUACCUAAUCAGAAAGCCACGGCUAACUACGUGCCAGCAGCCGCGGUAAUACGUAGGUGGCAAGCGUUAUCCGGAAUUAUUGGGCGUAAAGCGCGCGUAGGCGGUUUUUUAAGUCUGAUGUGAAAGCCCACGGCUCAACCGUGGAGGGUCAUUGGAAACUGGAAAACUUGAGUGCAGAAGAGGAAAGUGGAAUUCCAUGUGUAGCGGUGAAAUGCGCAGAGAUAUGGAGGAACACCAGUGGCGAAGGCGACUUUCUGGUCUGUAACUGACGCUGAUGUGCGAAAGCGUGGGGAUCAAACAGGAUUAGAUACCCUGGUAGUCC
rnacentral:rRNA from 1 species